rnacentral:rRNA from 1 species
UACAUGGGGUGCAAACGUUGCUCGGAAUUAUUGGGCGUAAAGCGCGCGUAGGCGGUUACUCAAGUCGGAUGUGAAAGCCCUCGGCUUAACUGAGGAAGUGCACCCGAAACUGAGUAGCUAGAGUACUAAAGAGGGUCGCGGAAUUCCCGGUGUAGAGGUGAAAUUCGUAGAUAUCGGGAGGAACACCGGUGGCGAAGGCGGCGACCUGGGUAGAUACUGACGCUGAGGCGCGAAAGCGUGGGGAGAAAACAGG